rnacentral:rRNA from 1 species
CGUGGCCAACCUGCCCUUGGGACGGAAGCACCCCCGGGAAACUGGGGCUAAUUUCCGAUAGGGGAAGACUCCUGGAAUGGAUUUUCGCCUAAAAGGCGCUUAGAGCAUGCUUCUAGGUGUUGCCCAAGGAUGGGGCCGCGGCCGAUCAGGUUGUUGGUGAGGUAACGGCUCACCAAGCCUUUAACCGGUGCGGGCCGUGGGAGCGGGAGCCCGGAGAUGGGCACUGAGACAAGGGCCCAGGCCCUACGGGGCGCAGCAGUCGCGAAAACUUCGCAAUAAGCGAAAGCUUGACGGGGCUAUCCCGAGUGCCAUCCGCUGAGGAUGGCUUUUCCCUAGUAUAGAUAGCUGGGGGAAAAAGGAGAGGGCAAGUCUGGUGUCAGCCGCCGCGGUAAUACCAGCUCUCCGAGUGGUGGGGAUGAUUAUUGGGCCUAAAGCAUCCGUAGCCGGCUGGGCAAGUCCCCUGUUAAACCCAGCGAUCUAAUCGUUGGCCUGCGGGGGAUACUGCUUGGCUAGGGGGCGAGAGAGGCCGUCGGUAUUCCCGGGGUAGGGGUGAAAUCCUAUAAUCCCGGGAGGACCACCAGUGGCGAAGGCUGUCGGCUAGAACGCGCCCGACGGUGAGGGAUGAAAGCUGGGGGAGCGAACCGGAUUAGAUACCCGGGUAGUCCCAGCUGU